rnacentral:rRNA from 1 species
GACGAACGCUGGCGGCGUGCUUAACACAUGCCAGUCGAACGGAAAGGCCUCUUUCGGGGGGUACUCGAGUGGCGAACGGGUGAGUAACACGUGAGUAACCUGCCCUUGACUUUGGGAUAACUUCAGGAAACUGGGGCUAAUACCGGAUAGGAGCUCCUGCUGCAUGGUGGGGGUUGGAAAGUUUCGGCGGUUGGGGAUGGACUCGCGGCUUAUCAGCUUGUUGGUGGGGUAGUGGCUUACCAAGGCUUUGACGGGUAGCCGGCCUGAGAGGGUGACCGGCCACAUUGGGACUGAGAUACGGCCCAGACUCCUACGGGAGGCAGCAGGGGGGAAUAUUGCACAAUGGGUGGAAGCCUGAUGCAGCAACGCCGGGGGCGGGAUGACGGCCUUCGGGUUGUAAACCGCUUUCGCUCAUGACGAAGCUUUGUGUGACGGUAGUGGGUAAAGAAGCACCGGCUAACUACGUG